GCCCCCGUAGCUCAGUUGGAUAGAGCGCCGGCCUCCGGAGCCGGAGACCGUGGGUUCGAGUCCCACCGGGGGUACCA
rnacentral:tRNA from 1 species